rnacentral:tRNA from 1 species
GAGGGUAUAGCUCAGUGGUGGAGUGUAUAUGUCUAGAAGGCACAUGGUCCUGCGUUCAAUCCCCAGUACCUCCA